rnacentral:rRNA from 1 species
UCUGGGACAAGCCCUGGAAACGGGGUCUAAUACCGGAUAACACUCCUGCCUGCAUGGGUGGGGGUUAAAAGCUCCGGCGGUGAAGGAUGAGCCCGCGGCCUAUCAGCUUGUUGGUGAGGUAGUGGCUCACCAAGGCGACGACGGGUAGCCGGCCUGAGAGGGCGACCGGCCACACUGGGACUGAGACACGGCCCAGACUCCUACGGGAGGCAGCAGUGGGGAAUAUUGCACAAUGGGCGAAAGCCUGAUGCAGCGACGCCGCGUGAGGGAUGACGGCCUUCGGGUUGUAAACCUCUUUCAGCAGGGAAGAAGCGAAAGUGACGGUACCUGCAGAAGAAGCGCCGGCUAACUACGUGCCAGCAGCCGCGGUAAUACGUAGGGCGCAAGCGUUGUCCGGAAUUAUUGGGCGUAAAGAGCUCGUAGGCGGCUUGUCACGUCGGUUGUGAAAGCCCGGGGCUUAACCCCGGGUCUGCAGUCGAUACGGGCAGGCUAGAGUGUGGUAGGGGAGAUCGGAAUUCCUGGUGUAGCGGUGAAAUGCGCAGAUAUCAGGAGGAACACCGGUGGCGAAGGCGGAUCUCUGGGCCAUUACUGACGCUGAGGAGCGAAAGCGUGGGGAGCGAACAGGAUUAGAUACCCUGGUAGUCCACGCCGUAAACGGUGGGAACUAGGUGUUGGCGACAUUCCACGUCGUCGGUGCCGCAGCUAACGCAUUAAGUUCCCCGCCUGG